UUCCCAUUAGUCUAGCGGUUAAGACGCCAAGCCUUCACCUUGGCGACCGCGGUUCGAAUCCGCGAUGGGAAA